rnacentral:pre_miRNA from 1 species
ACAACAUUUGGACCGGCGGUCUACCGAGCAAUAUCACCCCUCGGUGGAAGAUCUUCCUUUCGUCGU